rnacentral:lncRNA from 1 species
UACAAGUAAGAACAGUCCCUGAUGUAUAGUUGUUCUCGAUAAAUGUUUGGGAAUAAGUUAUUUUCUCAAGUGGACAAUAACCUCCUUUAACAUACAAAUUAUGCAUCUCUGGGAGAGACUUACCAAAACCUAAGGUUACCAAAGUUUCCCCGUAGGUAUAUGUCUUUGACUAAUAUUUUUUACUCUAAUUCAGCACCACAGGGUAUGAUCAAUAUUUCCUCCAUUGUUUGAGUAUUUGUAACUUCUUUCUCUUGCAGUGAGAAAACUGGUUCCCGUUAUUGAUAAUUUAUGUAGUUAUUUGUUCAACCCUAGUAUAGGUAUAAAGGGCUUCAAGAAUGAGU